UUCUCUUUUUAUAGGGAUCUGCAAUUGGGAGAGCUGAUUGUUUUUGUUCAGUGGUGGGGCAUCCGAUGAUUUAUUUUCAGACAAAUGAAGCUGUGAAUCAGAUUAGUCUGUGUUUUAAUUAUGAUAUAAUUACACAUUUUUGUAAAUUUUACCAUGUUUUUGUGUUACUGUUUUUUAGGUUGCAUGUUAACUGCAACAGAUUAAUAACACAGGUGUUGGAUGCCACAGCUAACACUGCCCUAAUGGUAAUAGACACUUACUUUUUACACAGAAAGCUUUAAGUUCGGAAAGCUGAUGGUUGGUAUGUGUGUUUUCGCUUUUAUGUAUUAAAUGUUUAAAUACCUGUUUUAAAAUAUGAAUACAUCAGUAUUCCAUUUUUGUGUUUUUAUGUUUGUUUUAUGUAUGCUGCAAUAGUCUUUAAUUUUAUCUUUUUACACAGAAAGCUUGGUGCUUCUGAGGGAUUUACCUUCCAGAUUAUGUUUACAUUAGCAAGCUGAUGGUUUGUGUGUGUCUUCUUUUUUUAUAGAUAUGUAUAAUGUAGUAUUUUAACAUGCGUUUUAUAAUAUGAAAAGAAUGUAAAGAUAGCAUUUUUUUGGUGUUUUUUAUUUUUGUUUUAUGUAUGCUGUCAUAUAAUAUAUAUAUAUAUUUUUUUGUCUUUUUUUUUACAUAGAAAGCAUGAAAUGGGCAUGCAGAUGAUCGGUAUUUGUGUACUUGCUGUCUUACUAGUAUCGAACUAAAUGGCUUAGAUAGGCUUCAGACAGGCAAGGUGAUGGUUUGUACUACUGUUUUACAGCCUCAGCUUGAUGUAUGUGUGUGUUCGGGUGUUUUCAACAAUUUCAGUCAUAUAAACGACGAAGUGAAGUUCAAGCAUACAUGACAUUGGACUAUUCUGGCUCAAAAGAACCUGGGGCACUUGUCACCAAUCCCAGAAGGAGCAAUUACUAGAGGUUGCGAAGGAUGAAGUUGAGGGUGAUAAGGACGACGAUAGUUCAAGAGCGAAAUAGUGGUUGACAUUAUAUAGAGAAUGGAGAAAAAGCAGAUUGUACACUGGUCAGAAUGAAGAUGACUUGAGAUGUUGAAGAAAAGUCCAGCUGCAAACUGUCCAAGACAUACAGUAAGGAUGUGGAUCUGUGGUAACUUAAGGUAAUGUCUCUGUGCGUUCACAGAGAGAAAUCAUUCAUUCAAAGUGAUACUGUAGAAAGAGAAAAAUGUUAAAUAACUUAAA